rnacentral:lncRNA from 1 species
GCAGCGCCCACUGCGUGCAGGGGGCGUGGUCCUCGGGGUCCCGGAAGGUAGGGAAUUGUGGACAGGGGUCACUCUGCCAAACUAGGAUUUCUCACUACUCCUCUCUACCCAGCCGCCCUCCAAUGACCCGGCCGCUUUGGGCGCAGGAAGCCGAUGCAGUUCCUCCGCGUUUUUCCCUGGAACCCAACUCGGAGGCAGCUGGCACGAGGGCGAACCAUAAGUGCGGGUAGAACGAAUGAAUGAACACUACACGGAAUAUUUAAACAAGAAAGAAAGAAAGUGCAUCCCCAGGAAUCGCUGCCUGACUUGUACAACCCUGUAGCCCCGGGAGGAGAGCAUCUCUCCGCUGGGGGAUGAAACUGCUUCGGACCUGGCCGGGGUGGAAGUUUGCCUUCCCCAUCCUAUUUGUCCUUUCGCUAUCUGAGAGUUCUGAGAUUCGGUCCACCGCCUGCCCGUGUCCUGCCCGGACAAGCCCCACGUGGGCUGGCUUCUAGCUGGUCCUCCGAGUCUCACCCCGGAGGGGUCAAGCAGGCCGUGCCCCACGGGCUGGCGGGCCCGGGCGCGCUCCCUGCUUCUGGGGCGCGGCUGGAAGUCCUCGCCCUCCCACCAGGCCCGCCGGCCGGGUCAAGCGGGUCACCCCCUGCUGCCGGCCGGCGCCGGCGCCUCCCGGCCGGUCCCACCUCCUCGCGCAGCUCACAGGCCGGAGCCAGGCGGUCCGGGCCGGCCGGGGCUCACCUGGGCGGCGCUCGCAGCCGAGCUCAGACAGGGGCUCACCCCGCACUGCAAACGCCCUACUGCCUAGGCUGAAAGCCCCGCGCUCGCCGGGAUCUACACACAUUUUCCUUUAGAGGCGCCGGUUCCGGGCCAGCCCCAAGCUAGACCGCGGGGAGAGCUGCCCACGCGCCUCGGAAGUUCUCCGAGAAAUCCUGUUGAGCUCGAGUGAGAAAAGCGGCCCAGAAAUGGCCCGGGAAUAGGAAAGAAAAGACGAACCUGCUUCCUCCGAAAGGGAGGGAUUCGACUCAAGGUGGUGCUGUCUGCCGAGAUUUCCACUAUCCCCAGCAUCACGGCCCAGGCCCAGGGGCACGGGGGCUGGAAGGGGUGGGCCUAGAGCCCGCAGAGAACCAACCAGUAGCUGCAGAAAAUGAAGCUGAGCUGCUAAAGGGAAACAGAUUCUUCUAUAGAAAAGCACUCAUGGGCAGUAGUAACCCAUCUAAACCUAACACACGAAAUCGGUUGUGGCAUUAUACCCAUUUCACAGCUGUGGACACCAAGGUGCAGAGUGGUUAAGUGACUGGCUCAAUACCCAAUUUUAAGUGAUGGAUCUGGGAUUUGAACCCAAGAAGCCCAGCUGCGAGCAAUGCUCUUGCACCCCAGCCAGUGGUGGCAAACCUGUGGCACAGGUGCUGCAGUGGGCUGUUUAUCAUCAAAAGCUCUAAAAGUUUCACCAUUACUGCCACUAGGUUAUUGUCACUCUUAAUCGUGCUUAGAGUUGUCAGAUUUAGUAAAGAUAACAGGAUGUUUAUGGGGAUAUGCUUAUACUAAAAUUUCUUUUGUUUUUAAAAUCUGAAAUUCAAAUCGAAUGUCUUGAGUUGAGGGGGCACUCUAGGCCCUUCGCCUUAGUCUUCCUCCUCAUCUCAGAUGAAUCUAGUCUAAAUCAGAAAAAUCCUUGAACUUUGUUUUAUAAAUUACCUGCUGGCCCCACUGCACUGCCUGAUUUUGCAGUACAAUGUCAUGCUUCCUGUUUGACCUUUGUGGAACCCCAAGAUAUUGGAGUCCCUCCUGUCUCCUCAGAAGGGAAGUCAGACCCACCGUGGUGCUUUACCACAGAUGUAUGCUGCACGCCAUGGAUAUAACUGAAAAUUGUCUAGUACUGGCCAAUAGAGGGUUAAAAAAAAGCAGAUGGGGUUAGUUUUCCUAAUGUAGCUUAUUUAACCAGUAUACCCAAAUUAUCAUCUCUUCAGUAUAUAUUCAAUAUAAAAAUUAUUAGUGAGUUUUUCUACAUUCUUUUUUUUUUUUCUUUUUUGUUUUGGUACUGGGGAUCGAACUCAGGACCUUUCGCUUUUGAGGCAGGCAGCAGAACCACU